CUGCAGGCGUUUCAACAUGGCCGUUCAAAAAUGACCAUGUGCACUUAUAUUUUUCCCUAUUAAACCAUGACAUAGAUACUAUAUCGAUUGGUUUGAAGACAUAGACGUAGUAUAGAGAAGACCGUCAGAGAGGACAAUACUACAAUGGAAGGAGUACAGGUGCCACCAAUGAAACAUGGCCAGGAAGUUAUUCAAGUUGUGGAACUAAACAUCAAGAAUUUUCUCCAAAGACAGGUG
rnacentral:lncRNA from 1 species